rnacentral:rRNA from 1 species
GAUGAACGCUGGCGGCGUGCUUAACACAUGCAAGUCGAACGGAAAGGCCCAAGCUUGCUUGGGUACUCGAGUGGCGAACGGGUGAGUAACACGUGGGUGAUCUGCCCUGCACUUCGGGAUAAGCCUGGGAAACUGGGUCCAAUACCGGAUAGGACCACUUCUUGGAUGUUGUGGUGGAAAGUUUUUUCGGUGUGGGAUGAGCUCGCGGCCUAUCAGCUUGUUGGUGGGGUAAUGGCCUACCAAGGCGUCGACGGGUAGCCGGCCUGAGAGGGUGUACGGCCACAUUGGGACUGAGAUACGGCCCAGACUCCUACGGGAGGCAGCAGUGGGGAAUAUUGCACAAUGGGCGCAAGCCUGAUGCAGCGACGCCGCGUGGGGGAUGACGGCCUUCGGGUUGUAAACUCCUUUCGCUAGGGACGAAGCGUUUUGUGACGGUACCUGGAGAAGAAGCACCGGCUAACUACGUG